UACGGAGGAUGCAAGCGUUAUCCGGAUUCAUUGGGUUUAAAGGGUGCGUAGGCGGGCUAUUAAGUCAGUGGUGAAAUCCUGCAGCUUAACUGCAGAACUACCGUUGAUACUGAUAGUCUUGAGUUUGGUUAAGGUAGGCGGAAUGUGUAAUGUAGCGGUGAAAUGCUUAGAUAUUACACAGAACACCAAUUGCGUAGGCAGCUUACUGAGCCGACACUGACGCUGAGGCACGAAAGCGUGGGGAUCAAACAGGAUUA
rnacentral:rRNA from 1 species